rnacentral:rRNA from 1 species
GGCUCAGGACGAACGCUGGCGGCGCGCUUAACGCAUGCAAGUCGAACGAGAUCCAUCCGGUGGCAACACCGGUGAAGAUCUAGUGGCGAACGGGUGAGUAUCACGUGAGGAACCCACCCUGGAGACCGGGAUAACCCUCCGAAAGGAGAGCUAAUACCGGAUGCCCUCAUCGGACCGCAUGAUCUGAUGAGGAAAUGGAUUCCGCUCCAGGACGGCCUCGCGGCCUAUCAGCUUGUUGGUGGGGUAACGGCCCACCAAGGCGACGACGGGUAGCUGGUCUGAGAGGACGAUCAGCCACACUGGGACUGAGACACGGCCCAGACUCCUACGGGAGGCAGCAGCGGGGAAUAUUGCACAAUGGGCGAAAGCCUGAUGCAGCGACGCCGCGUGGGGGAUGAAGGCUCUCGGGUCGUAAACCCCUUUCAGCAGGGACGAAUUCAGACGGUACCUGCAGAAGAAGCUCCGGCCAACUACGUGCCAGCAGCCGCGGUAACACGUAGGGAGCAAGCGUUGUCCGGAUUUAUUGGGCGUAAAGAGCUCGUAGGCGGUUCGAUAAGUCAGGUGUGAAAACUCUGGGCUCAACUCAGAGACGCCACUUGAUACUGUCGUGACUGGAGUCUGGUAGGGGAGUGUGGAAUUCCCGGUGUAGCGGUGAAAUGCGCAGAUAUCGGGAGGAACACCAGUGGCGAAGGCGGCACUCUGGGCCAGUACUGACGCUGAGGAGCGAAAGCGUGGGGAGCGAACAGGAUUAGAUACCCUGGUAGUCCACGCCGUAAACGUUGGGCACUAGGUGUGGGUCU